CUUUCACAGGGUUGAAGAGGUGCUUGAGGACUGGACAAAUACAGCAUGAUUGUUAUUCUGAUCGGUCAAGAUCUCAUCAAGUCUGUAAGAGAAAUGAUACACCUUAUUUUGAGGUGAGCAACAACAUCCAGAGGUCCAUACACAUGCCAAGAAAUGGUGUAUUUACUCACCACCACAACAAUAUGGAGAAUGGCAGUCAAACAUAUUCUAUGAAAAUUAUAAAGAAUGGCAGAAUUGUUGCCUGUGAAGACUUCAGCAUUGUGUUUCCAAAUUAAAAGUCAGACAGAACAAGCUGGAACUAAAUUACAAGGUCCCAUAUGAAAUAGAAAGAAAUUAAGUUCUAAAUGCAAAUUCAGACAGCUACCUAUAAAAUAGCUAGUUUUUAUCUACUUUGUUUAAUAUCAGUGGUAUAGAUUUAGUUGUAAGCAAAUGUAUAAUUAAAACUCUACAUGUGUAGAUUGUCAGUUGGACUUUGUGUGUACAUUUAUUUCAGCCAAAUGUUGAAUAAAAAGCAUAUUAAAUUGUAGAUUCCUUCAAGUGUAAAUAAUUUAAACCAGAGUUCCAUUUUUCAUGAUUUAAAGUUUGGCUGUUAAUGCUGCCAUCAAGGUUCAGAAUCAAAUAAAUGCUUAAAAUAAAUACUUAAAACUAAAAAUUAAUCAGAAAUCUUUUAUUUUUAUUUUAUUAAUUUUUUAAUGCUAAUCCACUGAAACACAGUUCCAACUUUAAAUUAUCAAUUUGGAUCAUUUAAAGUUGGAACUAUUUAUCAGUGGAUUAGCAGUAGGAGCACAUUUCAUAGUUUUUAUGAAAUAAAAGUCCGUACUGUAGACCCUGUUGAGCUCCUCCACCCCCUCGGCAGCCAGACAUGGCAGAACGUCCGGCGCCAGGCCCUCACUUGAUGAAUCCGUGAGACGUUUUCUCCGCAGUGCGCUGAGGCUGAGGCCUCCGGUACGUUUUUGUGUCCCCACGUGGGACCUGGCUGUGGUGUUAGAAGCUCUCUGUAAUCCUCCGUUCGAGCCAAUUGAGGAGAUUUCUGAUCGCCUUCUUAAUAUAAAGACUGUUUUCUUGCUAGCGAUAUCUUCUCUCAAGAGAGUUGGGGACCUACAGGCCCUUUCCGUGGCCCCGUCCUACAUUGAUUUUGCGCCCGGUCUGGCCAAAGCUUUUCUUUACCCUCGAGUGGGGUAUGUCCCCAAGGUCCCCUCCUC
ensembl:lncRNA